rfam:Drosophila virilis strain TSC#15010-1051.87 Ctg01_14646, whole genome shotgun sequence.
CCGUUCUUGUGUUAUUCCCUGAAUUUAUCUCUCUAAUCAGAGGAUGUCAAACAGAACGCAAAGUGAAUAACAAGCCCGCUUACUCCACAUUGUAGAGCCUAUCGAAACCUAGGCUUCUACAUAACUUACCGCCGGCCACAUGC